rnacentral:lncRNA from 1 species
GGCCUCAGCCGGCGCACCUGGCGGAGGAGGAACCUCGCGACGCGCUCUCGGGCAUCGGUUUCUCCCAGCAAAGCUUGGAGGGUUUAGCUGCGCGGAGAGCUCAGCGAGCUCUUCUGUGUCUGUUUGGGGCGUGUGGGCUCCGGGAGCGUGAGGACCGGGAAGCUAGGAGGCUCCUUCCCUUCUGGCGGCUCCCUCACUGAGACCGGGCGGUUUGGUUGCGGGGGAAGUGGAGACGAGCCACCCUUGACCUUUGACUGCAAGAACUCACCUUGAGCAGGAUAGAGGCACGUGGACGGUGACCCUCGGGAUGCAAUAAAUGCUGAGACAGAUCAGCAAACAUUGAGUGGGCCAGACACUGUUCUGAAAAAUACGCAGUCGACUUUUGAACAGCACAGGCUUGAACUGCAUGCGGCCACUAAUACUCGGACUUCCUUCUGCCUCUGCCAUCCCUAAGACAGCAAGACCCACCCCUCCUGCUCCUCAGCCUACUCGAUGUGAUGAUGUCUGGCUUCCUUUUCCCUUCAAUGGAAUAACAUAUACAAACUCUACCUAAGAGUGCUGUGUGAAGUACAUGCCAGCCUACAAGACAUGUCUCUAACCAAGUCGAAAGAGUGCAGUAUUCGUUCAUUCACUCAUUCAUUCAUUCAACAAAUGUUUAUUAAUAGGUAUUGUUUACCAAGCACUGUGUGUUAAGGAGAAGAUGGUAUGAAACAAGCAGACCCAGGCCUCAGGGAAGAGAGGCUGUUACAUUCAGAGACAAUUACCAUACACUACAAUGAAUGCUUUGAUGAAGGGAGGCAAAAAAACAAAAACAAAAACAACAACAACAAAAACCCCACAACGAUGUGGAUCCCUCCCUGUGGGGGUGAGGAGAAAGGAAAACAGCUUCAGGGAUCUCCAAGCCCUUGUGCCGGCCACUCUUCUUUCUUCUCUUCCUUCCUCCUCUGUCUUUCCUUUCAUCCUUCCUCCUCCCUUCUCUUUGGACAUCACUAAUAAAAGAGAAACAGAUGUCAGAGACGUAGACAUGGGGAGGGCUUUAAUAUCUAGCCUUACGGAACAAAAUCCUUGGGACCCAAUAGAACUUAGUGUUGCAGAGCUUUCUCCUGAGUUCAGCUAAAACCAGGCUCUUGUCACACGACCAGGGAAGAUUAGGCUCCCGGACACAUAGAAGGGUGAGGAAAACAGAAUUUAUUGGGCGAAAAGGAAAAAGAAAGAAAAACUCUCAGCGAAGUGAUAGGGGGUCUUGCCAACAACCUCUCUCCUCACAAAUUGAAUCCUAGGUUACCACAGAGGCCAGGUUCCUCUCCCCUGCAAACUUCGUGAACUUCCCCUGGCUCUACCCCUUUCCCCCAGUAAGAAGGUGGGCCUCAUUUAGAGAAAAUCGUUUGGGAAAGGGCAGGCUUCAUCAGGGACCAGCAAUCCAGUUUCUCAGCCUUCAGGCUGUUUUAGCCUUGGAGGUGGGGUUUCACCUGGGACACUUGGCUGCCCCCUGUCUCUAACAUUAGAUGUCUCUAACAUCUAUUCCCCUCCCUAUCUUUGCUGGACACCUGACUCUCUCCUAGAGCAACCCAGCAAACAUCUGUCUGUUGUGUACUUAAAUACCCCCACAGAUUGGGAACUGUCUCCUUUAUGGGAAAGCUCUUUAUAUUUGGGACACCCCAGUUUGUUCAUUCAGCACAUUUUCUUUUCAACUUUUUUAGAGACAAGGUCUCACUCUGUCACCCAGACUGGAAUGCAGUAGCGUGAUCAUAGCUCACUGUAACCUCGAACUCCUGGGCUCAAGUGAUCCUCCUGCCUCGGCCUCCCAGGAGCUAAGGGCUACAGGCGUGUGCCGCCACUCCCAGCUAGUUUUUUAAUUUUUAAAAAUUUUUUGCAGAGGUGGCGUCUUGCUAUGUUGACCAAGUUUGUCUCAAAUUCCUGGCUUCAAGCCAUCCUCCCACCUCUGCCUCCCAAAACACUGGGAUUUCAGCCGUGAGCCACCAACGCACCUGGCCUCAUUCUCCAACUCUUUACAAAGCUUCAAAGACAUCCCAGACGCUGGGAAUACAGAGACCAAUCAGAUACAAACCCUGCCCUCCAGCUGUUCGCAGCAUUCUCGCUCCUUUGCGGCCACCUCUUCUGCCCUGCUUUUCCACCUUGUCCCUUCUUCUGUCAAGUGGCUUUUGGCUUGGUCACCACUUUGCUGGUGUUUCUCUCCAGAAGUGAGUCCCAGACUUCAGGUGUGGUCUGACUCACGUCCUAUCGGGUCUCUCCCUCUGAAAACCGUGCUUGUAUUAAAGCAGCUUGGGAGCUCAUUAAUGUUCUUGGCAGCCAGGUCCUACCCCUGACAGUGCAGGAGCUGCCUGUCCACUUAGGGGACCCCUGUCUUUUUCACACGUGAGUCUGUUAAGCCUCACCUCCCUCAUCGCCUCCAUGUGUGCGGCAGUUUUCAACAAAUGUUCAGAGUACAACACCUGCCCUUGUUAAACGUAAUCUUGUUACACUAGUCCCCUUGUUUUAACUUCUCAAACAUUUUGAGUCUUGCUCCUGUUAACCAAGAAGACCUAGAAAGCUCCACAUCUCCUCUUAAAAUGUGUGUGUGUGUGUGUGUGCGUGUAUUCGUACGCACACCCCUGGGUACAGCUCUGAGGAGGCCACCUAUAGGUUUCUGAACAAUCUUCCAUGAAUACAGCUCAUUCAUACACACAUUUAUUUAUUCUGCAACAUUUAUUCAACAUUCCCUAACAAAACUUUCAUUCUUGAGCACUUUUUGCCCAAGCAUUACAGGGAUAAUAGAAGCAAACGAAUCCAUACUAAGGAGUGAAUUAUUGAUAGUGCUCACCUGCAUUUUUUUAAGCAGAAAGUAGUAUUUAUUUUGGCCUAAUUUCCACCUGUCAGAAAAUCAAAACAGUGAUGAAUUGCAUAUUGCUAUACUACAUUUUAUUAUCAGCAUCAAAAUUCAAGUGUGCUCUGCUUAAAAUUCAGAAGACAAACUUUCUCAUUUAGAAAAGUUCAUUCUGUUAGUGACUGAUCAGAAUGGAAUAA